rnacentral:lncRNA from 1 species
UGAGCGAUGCUCUUGUUGUUCUGCUGAUGCUCAAACUGGUCCUUCUUGUUGUUGUUGUUGGAGGAGGAGGAGUGGUCUAAGCCAAGGAGGUCAGAGAUGGUGUCGAACUCGGACCAGAGGUCCUCCGCCGUCAGCGUCCGGCCGCGCUUGGCGGAGAUGAAGUCGGAAAUGAUAGCGCCACCACACAUGUUGUUGAUAUUGCCACUUGCAGGAGGAGUAACUUCAACACAAAAGAGAGGCUUCG